ACAGCAGCCGCCACGGUAAUACGAAGGGUGCAAGCGUUACUCGGAAUUACUGGGCGUAAAGCGUGCGUAGGUGGUGGUUUAAGUCCGUUGUGAAAGCCCUGGGCUCAACCUGGGAAUUGCAGUGGAUACUGGGUCACUAGAGUGUGGUAGAGGAUAGUGGAAUUUCCGGUGUAGCAGUGAAAUGCGUAGAGAUCGGAAGGAACAUCUGUGGCGAAGGCGACUAUCUGGGCCAACACUGACACUGAGGCACGAAAGCGUGGGGAGCAAACAGGAUUAGAUACCCCUGUAGUCCCUGUCUCUUAUAA
rnacentral:rRNA from 1 species